rnacentral:rRNA from 1 species
GUCUACAGCCAUGCCACUCUGAACAAGCCAGAUCCCAUCUGAUCUCGAAAGCUCAGUAGGGUCGGGCCUGGUUAGUACUUAGAUGGGAGACCACCUGGGAAGACCAGGUACUGUAGGCA